CCUAUACUUUCUAAGGUGCAAGGAUCUCCUCUUGAUCUUGUUGUUGUUAAUAUCUGUGUAGAAUAUGUGUUGGUCUCUCAUCAAGAGGGCCCUCCGCAUAAUCUAGAAGAUGGACAGGGUCCUCUUUCUCUUUCUCAUCAUCAUUUCCAUCCACUGCUACCUUCACCUCUUCAUUCUCUCUUUUCUUUUUUAGAAGUUUAGGUGCCGUCUCAAAAUGAAAACCAUGAACUUGAAGGAAGUUGCAGAGGCAUUUUUCAAGCCUGGCUUCAUCUUGACACAAGAGCUUGAGUGAUUGGAAAGGAAUUUGGUUGUCCAAGAUAAGCAGAUCCUGGUGCACCCUCACAAGCUUGUCAAUGAUAAUCUUGAGCUCUUGCUCUGAAUCAACUGAGCUCUCUGAUUUUUUCCAGCAAGUGAAGUACACAGCAUGCCUCCACUAUGAUAUGAUCUGUGUAUACAGUAGGUGCAUCAUAUAAGUUUUGUCACAUAGGUUUUAGUAACCAUCUUUUCAUUCUGUUGUCAUCACAGAUUUCCCUAAAUAAAUCUUUCACGUUUAGAUUAGUAUCCUUAAGAUACAUUGCUGCCCAUGCUUCCUUAUACUGCUCUCCUUGUGUUGUUUUUGGAUUAAACACACCAAGUAAAAACAUCUGUGUCUUGUGAUUGAUAAAGUGGUUCCUGCAUUAGUUGACCUUGCCGAAAUUACAACUCUUAGCGACCACAAAAAGCUUGGUGAUUCCAUUGUUAGUGUUCUUCAGGACUACAUCCAGUCACAGGGGUCAGGAAGAAGCUCAAUUAGUGGUCGCACUAGUGAACAAAUUAAGAACCUAUUAAAUUCAAAGCAAAGGUUAAAAUGGAAAAAUAAUAUGCCCAAGGAAGAUCUACAUAUUAAGCAGGCUGCAGCUCUGGUGGUCAAGCUUGAAGGAAAUUCUCUGUUCUCAUCUGGAAAUAUUUCUGGAGCUGCAU